rnacentral:rRNA from 1 species
GAUGAACGCUGGCGGCGUGCUUAACACAUGCAAGUCGAACGGUGAAAGAGAGCUUGCUCUCUGGAUCAGUGGCGAACGGGUGAGUAACACGUGAGCAAUCUGCCCCUGACUCUGGGAUAAGCGCUGGAAACGGCGUCUAAUACCGGAUACGAGCUGCGAAGGCAUCUUCAGCAGCUGGAAAGAACUUCGGUCAGGGCUGAGCUCGCGGCCUAUCAGCUAGUUGGUGAGGUAACGGCUCACCAAGGCGUCGACGGGUAGCCGGCCUGAGAGGGUGACCGGCCACACUGGGACUGAGACACGGCCCAGACUCCUACGGGAGGCAGCAGUGGGGAAUAUUGCACAAUGGGCGAAAGCCUGAUGCAGCAACGCCGCGUGAGGGACGACGGCCUUCGGGUUGUAAACCUCUUUUAGCAGGGAAGAAGCGAAAGUGACGGUACCUGCAGAAAAAGCACCGGCUAACUACGU